rnacentral:rRNA from 1 species
UGGGGAAUAUUGGACAAUGGGCGGAAGCCUGAUCCAGCAAUGCCGCGUGCAGGAUGAAGGCCUUCGGGUUGUAAACUGCUUUUGUACGGAACGAAAAGCUUCGGGCUAAUACCCUGGAGUCAUGACGGUACCGUAAGAAUAAGCACCGGCUAACUACGUGCCAGCAGCCGCGGUAAUACGUAGGGUGCAAGCGUUAAUCGGAAUUACUGGGCGUAAAGCGUGCGCAGGCGGUUUUGUAAGACAGAGGUGAAAUCCCCGGGCUCAACCUGGGAACUGCCUUUGUGACUGCAAGGCUAGAGUACGGCAGAGGGGGAUGGAAUUCCGCGUGUAGCAGUGAAAUGCGUAGAUAUGCGGAGGAACACCGAUGGCGAAGGCAAUCCCCUGGGCCUGUACUGACGCU